rnacentral:rRNA from 1 species
GUAUAUGAAAAAAAAAAAAAAAAAGUUCUCGUCCGAUCACUGAAGUUAAGCAGCAUUGAGCGUGGUUAGUACUUGGAUGGGUGACCGCUUGGGAACACCGCGUAUCGUUGGCA